GAGGUAUAAUUGAUAUAUGUUAAAUGUUCAGAAGACUUGUCUGUCCUGAAGAUCAACCCUGAUUGCAGCAGUUGGCAGCCAGCAAACAGUGUAGUUGCUGCAGAGGUAUAAAUUCCUAACUUGAAACCAAGAAAAAACAGCAAGCGAGGACUCUGGCAAAGGAAAUUUACUUUGGGGAAAUUUUGAGACAGGAUAUUCAUAGAAGAGAAUGCAUCAUCAACCUCAGAGAAACAAACAGAAGAUGACGGCCCCCCCCCCCCA